rnacentral:rRNA from 1 species
GACGAACGCUGGCGGCGUGCUUAACACAUGCAAGUCGAACGGAAAGGCCCUGCUUUUGUGGGGUGCUCGAGUGGCGAACGGGUGAGUAACACGUGAGUAACCUGCCCUUGACUUUGGGAUAACUUCAGGAAACUGGGGCUAAUACCGGAUAGGAGCUCCUGCUGCAUGGUGGGGGUUGGAAAGUUUCGGCGGUUGGGGGUGGACUCGCGGCUUAUCAGCCUGUUGGUGGGGUAGUGGCUUACCAAGGCUUUGACGGGUAGCCGGCCUGAGAGGGUGACCGGCCACAUUGGGACUGAGAUACGGCCCAGACUCCUACGGGAGGCAGCAGUGGGGAAUAUUGCACAAUGGGCGGAAGCCUGAUGCAGCAACGCCGCGUGCGGGAUGACGGCCUUCGGGUUGUAAACCGCUUUCGCCUGUGACGAAGCGUGAGUGACGGUAAUGGGUAAAGAAGCACCGGCUAACUACGUG